GUGGGGAAUCUUGCGCAAUGGGCGAAAGCCUGACGCAGCCAUGCCGCGUGAAUGAUGAAGGUCUUAGGAUUGUAAAAUUCUUUCACCGGGGACGAUAAUGACGGUACCCGGAGAAGAAGCUCCGGCUAACUUCGUGCCAGCAGCCGCGGUAAUACGAAGGGGGCUAGCGUUGCUCGGAAUUACUGGGCGUAAAGGGCGCGUAGGCGGACAGCUUAGUCAGAGGUGAAGGCCCAGGGCUCAACCUUGGAAUUGCCUUUGAUACUGGCUGUCUUGAGUUUGGGAGAGGUGAGUGGAACUCCGAGUGUAGAGGUGAAAUUCGUAGAUAUUCGGAAGAACACCAGUGGCGAAGGCGACUCACUGGCCCAAUACUGACGCUGAGGCGCGAAAGCGUGGGGAGCAAACAGGAUUAGAAACCCCGGUAGUCC
rnacentral:rRNA from 1 species